ensembl:lncRNA
UCGGGCAUGAGGCAGGGUACACCCUGGACAGGAUGCCAAGUUCAAUAUCCUAUUAACACACAUUAAGUAAACUUUUCUUAAGGUUUUAUGUAGUCAGGACUCGUUUUCCCAGGGUCCUAUUAAAUCUACUGCCUUUUAACUUUAAACACCAAAAACACAUUUAAACAAACACCAGCAUACGUUAGCUUAAAAUCCAUCCUUCAAUUUAUGAAAGUUAUGAACUUGGAAAAUAAACUAGGUUUGCGCAAGCUGAACCCUCGUUUGUGCUGCGCUAAAAUAGCUGUAAGUCUACAUUCAUACAAUUCAACUCCGUACAUGAACAACAAUGAAAUGUAGACACUAAACUGAAGAAAUGGCAUACUGUAGCCUAUAAAACAUGGUAAACAGUCAUAAAAGGAACUAAAUGUUAGGUACGAACAUGUCCCAGUUCUCUCUUAUUCUCUUAUGCUCCAGUUUUAAAUCACCAGGUGCUCAUUAUGUGCCGUAUAAAUCUGUGGAACAUAGGACCCUUUGAACAUAGAUACACGCCCUUUACAAUGUUCACAGAUGAUGCUAGCCUGCUAAGUGAUGUAAGCUAAUCUGACAGGUUUCUGAUAGGAUUUUUAAGUUAUAUUAACAUAGUAAUCAAGUUUCAACGCUGACUGACACACGCUAACUUAAUUACGAGGAUUUCUGAGUGGAUUCUGAAGUCAUUUUCAUACAUUUUCACCGAUGUUCACAGAUAAAGCUAGCCACCUAAGUGUUUAAACUAACCUGACAGGAUUUCUGAGAGGAUUUAAAGUCCUAAUCAUACAGUACAUGCUCCCAAUAUUUACUGCUAAUGCUAGGUAUAGCUGCUUAGCGUAUGUUAACGUGACAGGAUUUCUGAGAGGAUUUAAAGUCAUAUUCAGAAAUGUUUACAAUCUUACCCAGAAAGUUAGCAUAGCCUAACCUGACAGGAUUUCUAAGUGGAUUCUGAAGUUAUUGUCAUAAAUGUUCACAGUGUUCACAGAUAACGCUAACCAGCUAAGUGAUUUAAACUUAAAAUUUGAUUUAAACUUAAAAUUUAAAGCCAUAAACAGAUAUUGCUAGCCAGCUAACUGUUCUUAGCCAACAACAGAUAUCUGAGAGGAUUUCUAAUUCAUAUUACUGAAUGUUCAUAAUAUCUAUAUAACGUCAUAUAUCUAGAUACGUUGCUUAACAUACGUUAACCUGACCGAAUUUCUGAGAGGCUGUAAAGUCAUCACCAGAAAUGUUCACAGUCUUAUCCAGAUAUGCUAAUGCUAGGUAGAUGCUUAACAUGCUUACUUGACAAGCUUUCUGAGAAGUCAUAUUCAUAAAAAUUGACAGAAAUUCCUAGCUGGCUAACCGACAAACUAUCCUGAAAUAUGUCUGAGCAGGUUUAAAGACAUAUUUAUUAAUGUUUACAAUCUUAUCCAGCUAGCUCGCAUAGCCUAAUAUGACAGGAUUUCUGAGAGGAUUUAAAGCCAUUUUAUCAAUUUUGUCCAACGUUCACUUAAAAUUCUAGCCAGGAAGCUAAGCCUAACUAACCUGACAAGAUUUCUGACACGACUUUUAAGUGAGACACAUAAAAUGUUUACUGCUAGUGCUAUGUAGCUGCGUAUCAUAUGCUAAAUUACCACGACAGGAUUUAAUGUCAUAUUCGUAAAUGUCUGUAAACAAUGUCCAUAGAUACUGUUAGCUAGCUAAAAGCUAUAUAUAAGCUAACCUGGCAUAGUUCUGUGAGGAUUUUUAAUUCACGUUAAUAAAUGUUCACAAUCUUUACUGCUAACACUAGCUUGUUAGCUGAUAUGAGCCAGGUUGAAAGCUAUAUUUAAGCGAAUCUCUUGUUGUCGCCCAUAAAGAGGAAAGAUUAUGGAAGUAUGUCAACUGAAUUGUUGAAUGAAAUGACACAAUUGGAUCACAGCCUUCCCGUUUAUCAUCAUAUUACAGACGCCCAAAUGAAAUUACACACAGCAUGAAUCUUUCCGUGGGGAACUCUUCGGGUAGUGGCACGACCACAAAAUCCAAUCAAGCUGGAAUUACCAUUUCCCCUCUACCUCUCUGUCUCUCUCGCUCUCUCCCUCUCUCGCUCUCUCUCUCACACACACACUCUCUCUCUCUCUCUCUCUCUCUCUCUCACUCUCUCUCUCUCUCUCUCUCUCUGCAUGUUUGCAAACAGUAGAUUCGUUCGAAAUGGAUAGGUUAAGGGGAUUAUCCACUCUCUGUAGAGUAGCUGAAUGAGAGGAUGCAUCCCAGCGCAGUGUGUGUGAGUGAGAGAGAGAGAGAGAGAGAGAGAGAGAGAGAGAUUUGAAGUGUUCCAGCUUCCUCCCAUAGGGUUUAGGUGACAGCGCCUAGCUUUAGCGUGUCACAUUUGUCACAGCAGUUAUAACGACGCCGGGUUAACCUCCACCACGGCCACUCGAACAGAAAUGACAAACUGCUCCGGCUGUCACUUCCUCGAUAAAACGCUCGAUAACGGCGAGGAAAUGGAUGAUGGAACUGAUCUGAACCUCGCAAUGCACAAAAGAAGAAGAAGAAGAAGAAAAAAAGAAACAUGAAUUAGCUAGGCAGCUUCAUUAUUUCUACGGCUCGGAUCGUUUAAAACAUUAGUGCUUUUCCGUUGGGGUCAAAUAGAGGUUAACCCGAGGGCAUGAAUCAUGUUCUAAAACAUCUGAACUUAUACUUAUAAGAUGUUUAGAUGUUCUAUACUUCGCUAACUUUCUUUUUGAACUGAAGCGUUACGUACAUAGAUAUAGACAGAGAGCCAUCCCUAGGCUUUUAAUAGGACAUGGCGGUGAAUCCACAAUGAUCUCUGAUCUGUGACGCUGAUGAGGACUGACACUGGCACAAGCUCACAAUGGGGGUGUAAUAGGGGAAUUAGAAAUGAAUGAUCCCGCCCGUAUGUAAAUGGCGAUUAAAGGACGACCAGCACUGCAGGCUGUCUUCCGUUAACUCUUCUUUUUUUAUUUAGAUAAUGCUUCAGUUUGCUGGCGUAUCCAUAGCUGACCUCUCUCUCUCUCUCUCUCUCUCGCUCUCGCUCUCAGUUCCAUGAACUAGAUCGAAUCAAUUCUGCGUAAUGGCUGAGGUGAUCAUUACGCGCUGCUUUUGUUUGCGAGGAUGAAGAGUGAGUUUGACUGCUUAUCGGAGUUUUGCAGUGUGUAAAUGGGAGGCACCAAUGGAGCCACGUACAAAGGCUUUUCCUGUAUUUUUUUUUUUUAAAUGAUUUCUAU